rnacentral:rRNA from 3 species
UUAUCGGAGAGUUUGAUCCUGGCUCAGGACGAACGCUGGCGGCGUGCCUAAUACAUGCAAGUCGAGCGGACAGAUGG